rnacentral:rRNA from 1 species
GGGUUGUGAGGUUAAGCGACUAAGCGUACACGGUGGAUGCCCUGGCAGUCAGAGGCGAUGAAGGACGUGCUAAUCUGCGAUAAGCGUCGGUAAGGUGAUAUGAACCGUUAUAACCGGCGAUUUCCGAAUGGGGAAACCCAGUGUGUUUCGACACACUAUCAUUAACUGAAUCCAUAGGUUAAUGAGGCGAACCGGGGGAACUGAAACAUCUAAGUACCCCGAGGAAAAGAAAUCAACCGAGAUUCCCCCAGUAGCGGCGAGCGAACGGGGAGCAGCCCAGAGCCUGAAUCAGUGUGUGUGUUAGUGGAAGCGUCUGGAAAGGCGCGCGAUACAGGGUGACAGCCCCGUACACAAAAAUGCACAUGCUGUGAGCUCGAUGAGUAGGGCGGGACACGUGGUAUCCUGUCUGAAUAUGGGGGGACCAUCCUCCAAGGCUAAAUACUCCUGACUGACCGAUAGUGAACCAGUACCGUGAGGGAAAGGCGAAAAGAACCCCGGCGAGGGGAGUGAAAAAGAACCUGAAACCGUGUACGUACAAGCAGUGGGAGCACGCUUAGGCGUGUGACUGCGUACCUUUUGUAUAAUGGGUCAGCGACUUAUAUUCUGUAGCAAGGUUAACCGAAUAGGGGAGCCGAAGGGAAACCGAGUCUUAACUGGGCGUUAAGUUGCAGGGUAUAGACCCGAAACCCGGUGAUCUAGCCAUGGGCAGGUUGAAGGUUGGGUAACACUAACUGGAGGACCGAACCGACUAAUGUUGAAAAAUUAGCGGAUGACUUGUGGCUGGGGGUGAAAGGCCAAUCAAACCGGGAGAUAGCUGGUUCUCCCCGAAAGCUAUUUAGGUAGCGCCUCGUGAAUUCAUCUCCGGGGGUAGAGCACUGUUUCGGCAAGGGGGUCAUCCCGACUUACCAACCCGAUGCAAACUGCGAAUACCGGAGAAUGUUAUCACGGGAGACACACGGCGGGUGCUAACGUCCGUCGUGAAGAGGGAAACAACCCAGACCGCCAGCUAAGGUCCCAAAGUCAUGGUUAAGUGGGAAACGAUGUGGGAAGGCCCAGACAGCCAGGAUGUUGGCUUAGAAGCAGCCAUCAUUUAAAGAAAGCGUAAUAGCUCACUGGUCGAGUCGGCCUGCGCGGAAGAUGUAACGGGGCUAAACCAUGCACCGAAGCUGCGGCAGCGACGCUGAUGCGUUGUUGGGUAGGGGAGCGUUCUGUAAGCCUGUGAAGGUGUACUGUGAGGUAUGCUGGAGGUAUCAGAAGUGCGAAUGCUGACAUAAGUAACGAUAAAGCGGGUGAAAAGCCCGCUCGCCGGAAGACCAAGGGUUCCUGUCCAACGUUAAUCGGGGCAGGGUGAGUCGACCCCUAAGGCGAGGCCGAAAGGCGUAGUCGAUGGGAAACAGGUUAAUAUUCCUGUACUUGGUGUUACUGCGAAGGGGGGACGGAGAAGGCUAUGUUGGCCGGGCGACGGUUGUCCCGGUUUAAGCGUGUAGGCUGGUUUUCCAGGCAAAUCCGGAAAAUCAAGGCUGAGGCGUGAUGACGAGGCACUACGGUGCUGAAGCAACAAAUGCCCUGCUUCCAGGAAAAGCCUCUAAGCAUCAGGUAACAUCAAAUCGUACCCCAAACCGACACAGGUGGUCAGGUAGAGAAUACCAAGGCGCUUGAGAGAACUCGGGUGAAGGAACUAGGCAAAAUGGUGCCGUAACUUCGGGAGAAGGCACGCUGAUAUGUAGGUGAAGUCCCUCGCGGAUGGAGCUGAAAUCAGUCGAAGAUACCAGCUGGCUGCAACUGUUUAUUAAAAACACAGCACUGUGCAAACACGAAAGUGGACGUAUACGGUGUGACGCCUGCCCGGUGCCGGAAGGUUAAUUGAUGGGGUCAGCGCAAGCGAAGCUCUUGAUCGAAGCCCCGGUAAACGGCGGCCGUAACUAUAACGGUCCUAAGGUAGCGAAAUUCCUUGUCGGGUAAGUUCCGACCUGCACGAAUGGCGUAAUGAUGGCCAGGCUGUCUCCACCCGAGACUCAGUGAAAUUGAACUCGCUGUGAAGAUGCAGUGUACCCGCGGCAAGACGGAAAGACCCCGUGAACCUUUACUAUAGCUUGACACUGAACAUUGAGCCUUGAUGUGUAGGAUAGGUGGGAGGCUUUGAAGUGUGGACGCCAGUCUGCAUGGAGCCGACCUUGAAAUACCACCCUUUAAUGUUUGAUGUUCUAACGUUGACCCGUGAUCCGGGUUGCGGACAGUGUCUGGUGGGUAGUUUGACUGGGGCGGUCUCCUCCUAAAGAGUAACGGAGGAGCACGAAGGUUGGCUAAUCCUGGUCGGACAUCAGGAGGUUAGUGCAAUGGCAUAAGCCAGCUUGACUGCGAGCGUGACGGCGCGAGCAGGUGCGAAAGCAGGUCAUAGUGAUCCGGUGGUUCUGAAUGGAAGGGCCAUCGCUCAACGGAUAAAAGGUACUCCGGGGAUAACAGGCUGAUACCGCCCAAGAGUUCAUAUCGACGGCGGUGUUUGGCACCUCGAUGUCGGCUCAUCACAUCCUGGGGCUGAAGUAGGUCCCAAGGGUAUGGCUGUUCGCCAUUUAAAGUGGUACGCGAGCUGGGUUUAGAACGUCGUGAGACAGUUCGGUCCCUAUCUGCCGUGGGCGCUGGAGAACUGAGGGGGGCUGCUCCUAGUACGAGAGGACCGGAGUGGACGCAUCACUGGUGUUCGGGUUGUCAUGCCAAUGGCACUGCCCGGUAGCUAAAUGCGGAAGAGAUAAGUGCUGAAAGCAUCUAAGCACGAAACUUGCCCCGAGAUGAGUUCUCCCUGACUCCUUGAGAGUCCUGAAGGAACGUUGAAGACGACGACGUUGAUAGGCCGGGUGUGUAAGCGCAGCGAUGCGUUGAGCUAACCGGUACUAAUGAACCGUGAGGCUUAACCUUACAACGCCGAAG